UUCUAAUAGAAAUCAUUAUUAGUAAAAUCUGCUCAAUGAGUAUUAAAUAGCCGCAAUUAAUUUGUGCUAAGGUAGCAUAAUCAUUUGUCUUUCAAUUGUAGACUAGAACGAAAGAUUCAACAUUUUUAUCUCUAUAUAUAAAAUAAAUUUCAAAUUUAUAUUAAACAUAAAAAUAUUUUUAUAUAAAAAAAAGACGAUAAGACCCUAUCGAACUUUACUCAAGUUAAACUGGGGAAGUUUAUUAAAAAAUAUUUUAAUAAAUAAUAAAUAUAAAAAAUCCAAUAAAAUCGACUAAUUAAUCAAGUUACCGUAGGGAUAACAGCGUAAUAUUUUUUCAAAGAUCUUAUUAAAAAAAACAGAUUACGACCUCGAUGUUGAAUAUUUACCCUAAUAUAAUGCAAUAAUUUAAUAAGGAAGUCUGUUCGACUUUUAAUUAAUUACA
rnacentral:rRNA from 1 species